UGCCUGUAUUUCAACCCCGGUUCUCCACACCAUCCUCGCUUGAUCGUCGUUGCUCCAUACCCGGUACACUUACCCUCGUCCUCCCUUCAGUCAGCUGGGCUCAUCCACCGGCCCUCUCCGCCUCAGACUUCCCUCAUGGCGUCCUCCCAGUUCUCCCACCGCUCCUCGCUUCCUCAGCCCCAGUGUUCCCCGGCUCUCUGGCCCCCUGUCUCCUUGGUUCUUCGUGCCCGUGCUUCCCCGACAUCCACCUCUUCCUCCACUCCAGUCCCUCUACCCCUUUCUCCCUCAAUAAACCUCCUUCACUCCAAA